GGCUUCGUAGCUCAGCCGUAAGAACGUGCGCUGUNAGCGUGGGCGGUGCUCAUGCGUGGGUUCGAAUCCCACCAAGGCUA
rnacentral:tRNA from 1 species